rnacentral:miRNA from 1 species
GCGGGAAGUGCUGCAGGGGGGCAAAGGAGAGGAAGAGGUGCGUCCUCUCCUUUGCCCCCCUGCAGCACUUUCCGUGGUGCUGGGGA